GGUCCGGGCGUUAUCCGGAUUUAUUGGGUUUAAAGGGAGCGUAGGCCGGAGAUUAAGCGUGUUGUGAAAUGUAGUGGCUCAACCUCUGCACUGCAGCGCGAACUGGUUUCCUUGAGUACGCACAAAGUGGGCGGAAUUCGUGGUGUAGCGGUGAAAUGCUUAGAUAUCACGAAGAACUCCGAUUGCGAAGGCAGCCUACCAUCGCGUGACUGACGCUGAGGCUCGAAAGUGCGGGUAUC
rnacentral:rRNA from 1 species